AUUGAACGCUGGCGGCAGGCCUAACACAUGCAAGUCGAGCGAGCGGCGGACGGGUGAGUAAUGUCUGGGAAACUGCCUGAUGGAGGUGGAUAACUACUGGAAACGGUAGCUAAUACCGCAUACCAUCAGCUCUGCCCAGAUGGGAUUAGCUGGUUGGUGGGGUAACGGCUCACCUAGGCCACGAUCCCUAGCUGGUCUGAGAGGAUGAACAGCCACACUGGAACUGAGACACGGUCCAGACUCCUACGGGAGGCAGCAGGGGGGAAUAUUGCACAAUGGGCGCAAGCCUGAUGCAGCAAUGCCGCGUGUGUGAAGAAGGCCUUCGGGUUGUAAAGCACUGUCAGCGGGGAGGCGUUACCCGCACAAGAAGCACCGGCUAACUCCGUGCCAGCAGCCGCGGUAAUUC
rnacentral:rRNA from 1 species